rnacentral:rRNA from 1 species
GUGCCAGCAGCCGCGGUAAUACGUAGGGGGCGAGCGUUACCCGGAUUUACUGGGCGUAAAGGGGGCGUAGGCGGCCGUGAAAGUCCGGUGUGAAAACUCACGGCUCAACCGUGGGACUGCGCUGGAAACUACACGGCUUGAGGACGGUAGAGGGAGACGGAACUGCUGGUGUAGGGGUGAAAUCCGUAGAUAUCAGCAGGAACGCCGGUGGAGAAGUCGGUCUCCUGGGCCGUUCCUGACGCUGAGGCCCGAAAGCUAGGGGAGCAAACCGGAUUAGAUACCCGGGUAGUCCUAGCCGUAAACGAUGCCCACUAGGUGUGGGGGAGUAAUUCCUCCGUGCUGAAGCUAACGCGAUAAGUGCACCGCCUGGGGACUACGGCCGCAAGGCUAAAACUUAAAGGAAUUGGCGGGG